GAUACAUGUAAUAACCAACACUAGCUUUAUUCAUUUGAUGUAUUGCUGAAACAUAUAUUCUUCUCGUCUUUUAUGAGGAGUCAUAAUUAUCUGUUGUUUGUAUUGGACUUGCUAGAUCACCAACAGCCCAGUAUAGACCAAUCUCUCAUUUCAUCUUCUCGAGAGAAGAUUGGAUAACUGAUCGGUGGUUUCAUGUGUAAGUUCACUGAUCAUGUCACUGAACUUAUUCUGUUGCAGUCUAACAUCUAUUUAAAGUUCUAAACUCCAGGUUUCUAAAUUUGCAUGGCAGACUUUAUGAGAAGUCAUGUCCUUUCAAGAAAGUCAACAAGGUCUCUUGUGUAACCUUUUGGCUGCUACUCUUGAAUCUCCCUUUUAAGCAGGCCAUCUUUAUUUGAGGGAAAUUCUUCGCUACUUGUCAUAGGCUUCAUCCACUGGUGAAAACAACGAGAGAAUGCUGCAAUCCAAGACUGAUAAAUUGUUUAAUCGUUAGAUUCAAUUAAAAGUGCAUAUCUGGGUUCCCUUCUUUUCUGUGGCCCCGUUUC